rnacentral:piRNA from 1 species
CACAAAUGAGCAUGUUUUACUAGGUUUACA